rnacentral:rRNA from 1 species
AGUGAACGCUGGCGGUAGGCCUAACACAUGCAAGUCGAACGGCAGCACAGUAAGAGCUUGCUCUUACGGGUGGCGAGUGGCGGACGGGUGAGGAAUACAUCGGAAUCUACUUUUUCGUGGGGGAUAACGUAGGGAAACUUACGCUAAUACCGCAUACGUCCUGCGGGUGAAAGUAGGGGAUCUUCGGACCUUGCGCGAUUGAAUUAGCCGAUGUCGGAUUAGCUAGUUGGCGGGGUAAAGGCCCACCAAGGCGACGAUCCGUAGCUGGUCUGAGAGGAUGAUCAGCCACACUGGAACUGAGGCACGGUCCAGACUCCUACGGGAGGCAGCAGUGGGGAAUAUUGGACAAAGGGCGCAAGCCUGAUCCAGCCAUACCGCGUGGGUGAAGAAGGCCUUCGGGUUGUAAAGCCCUUUUGUUGGGAAAGAAAAGCAGCAGGUUAAUACCCCGCUGUUCUGACGGUACCCAAAGAAUAAGCACCGGCUAACUUCGUG